rnacentral:rRNA from 1 species
GGGUUGUGAGGUUAAGCGACUAAGCGUACACGGUGGAUGCCCUGGCAGUCAGAGGCGAUGAAGGACGUGCUAAUCUGCGAUAAGCGUCGGUAAGGUGAUAUGAACCGUUAUAACCGGCGAUUUCCGAAUGGGGAAACCCAGUGUGUUUCGACACACUAUCAUUAACUGAAUCCAUAGGUUAAUGAGGCGAACCGGGGGAACUGAAACAUCUAAGUACCCCGAGGAAAAGAAAUCAACCGAGAUUCCCCCAGUAGCGGCGAGCGAACGGGGAGGAGCCCAGAGCCUGAAUCAGUGUGUGUGUUAGUGGAAGCGUCUGGAAAGGCGCGCGAUACAGGGUGACAGCCCCGUACACAAAAAUGCACAUGCUGUGAGCUCGAUGAGUAGGGCGGGACACGUGGUAUCCUGUCUGAAUAUGGGGGGACCAUCCUCCAAGGCUAAAUACUCCUGACUGACCGAUAGUGAACCAGUACCGUGAGGGAAAGGCGAAAAGAACCCCGGCGAGGGGAGUGAAAAAGAACCUGAAACCGUGUACGUACAAGCAGUGGGAGCACAGAGCAAUCUGUGUGACUGCGUACCUUUUGUAUAAUGGGUCAGCGACUUAUAUUCUGUAGCAAGGUUAACCGAAUAGGGGAGCCGAAGGGAAACCGAGUCUUAACCGGGCGUUAAGUUGCAGGGUAUAGACCCGAAACCCGGUGAUCUAGCCAUGGGCAGGUUGAAGGUUGGGUAACACUAACUGGAGGACCGAACCGACUAAUGUUGAAAAAUUAGCGGAUGACUUGUGGCUGGGGGUGAAAGGCCAAUCAAACCGGGAGAUAGCUGGUUCUCCCCGAAAGCUAUUUAGGUAGCGCCUCGUGAAUUCAUCUCCGGGGGUAGAGCACUGUUUCGGCAAGGGGGUCAUCCCGACUUACCAACCCGAUGCAAACUGCGAAUACCGGAGAAUGUUAUCACGGGAGACACACGGCGGGUGCUAACGUCCGUCGUGAAGAGGGAAACAACCCAGACCGCCAGCUAAGGUCCCAAAGUCAUGGUUAAGUGGGAAACGAUGUGGGAAGGCCCAGACAGCCAGGAUGUUGGCUUAGAAGCAGCCAUCAUUUAAAGAAAGCGUAAUAGCUCACUGGUCGAGUCGGCCUGCGCGGAAGAUGUAACGGGGCUAAACCAUGCACCGAAGCUGCGGCAGCGACACUGUGUGUUGUUGGGUAGGGGAGCGUUCUGUAAGCCUGUGAAGGUGUACUGUGAGGUAUGCUGGAGGUAUCAGAAGUGCGAAUGCUGACAUAAGUAACGAUAAAGCGGGUGAAAAGCCCGCUCGCCGGAAGACCAAGGGUUCCUGUCCAACGUUAAUCGGGGCAGGGUGAGUCGACCCCUAAGGCGAGGCCGAAAGGCGUAGUCGAUGGGAAACAGGUUAAUAUUCCUGUACUUGGUGUUACUGCGAAGGGGGACGGAGAAGGCUAUGUUGGCCGGGCGACGGUUGUCCCGGUUUAAGCGUGUAGGCUGGUUUUCCAGGCAAAUCCGGAAAAUCAAGGCUGAGGCGUGAUGACGAGGCACUACGGUGCUGAAGCAACAAAUGCCCUGCUUCCAGGAAAAGCCUCUAAGCAUCAGGUAACAUCAAAUCGUACCCCAAACCGACACAGGUGGUCAGGUAGAGAAUACCAAGGCGCUUGAGAGAACUCGGGUGAAGGAACUAGGCAAAAUGGUGCCGUAACUUCGGGAGAAGGCACGCUGAUAUGUAGGUGAAGUCCCUCGCGGAUGGAGCUGAAAUCAGUCGAAGAUACCAGCUGGCUGCAACUGUUUAUUAAAAACACAGCACUGUGCAAACACGAAAGUGGACGUAUACGGUGUGACGCCUGCCCGGUGCCGGAAGGUUAAUUGAUGGGGUCAGCGCAAGCGAAGCUCUUGAUCGAAGCCCCGGUAAACGGCGGCCGUAACUAUAACGGUCCUAAGGUAGCGAAAUUCCUUGUCGGGUAAGUUCCGACCUGCACGAAUGGCGUAAUGAUGGCCAGGCUGUCUCCACCCGAGACUCAGUGAAAUUGAACUCGCUGUGAAGAUGCAGUGUACCCGCGGCAAGACGGAAAGACCCCGUGAACCUUUACUAUAGCUUGACACUGAACAUUGAGCCUUGAUGUGUAGGAUAGGUGGGAGGCUUUGAAGUGUGGACGCCAGUCUGCAUGGAGCCGACCUUGAAAUACCACCCUUUAAUGUUUGAUGUUCUAACGUGGACCCGUGAUCCGGGUUGCGGACAGUGUCUGGUGGGUAGUUUGACUGGGGCGGUCUCCUCCUAAAGAGUAACGGAGGAGCACGAAGGUUGGCUAAUCCUGGUCGGACAUCAGGAGGUUAGUGCAAUGGCAUAAGCCAGCUUGACUGCGAGCGUGACGGCGCGAGCAGGUGCGAAAGCAGGUCAUAGUGAUCCGGUGGUUCUGAAUGGAAGGGCCAUCGCUCAACGGAUAAAAGGUACUCCGGGGAUAACAGGCUGAUACCGCCCAAGAGUUCAUAUCGACGGCGGUGUUUGGCACCUCGAUGUCGGCUCAUCACAUCCUGGGGCUGAAGUAGGUCCCAAGGGUAUGGCUGUUCGCCAUUUAAAGUGGUACGCGAGCUGGGUUUAGAACGUCGUGAGACAGUUCGGUCCCUAUCUGCCGUGGGCGCUGGAGAACUGAGGGGGCUGCUCCUAGUACGAGAGGACCGGAGUGGACGCAUCACUGGUGUUCGGGUUGUCAUGCCAAUGGCACUGCCCGGUAGCUAAAUGCGGAAGAGAUAAGUGCUGAAAGCAUCUAAGCACGAAACUUGCCCCGAGAUGAGUUCUCCCUGACCCUUUAAGGGUCCUGAAGGAACGUUGAAGACGACGACGUUGAUAGGCCGGGUGUGUAAGCGCAGCGAUGCGUUGAGCUAACCGGUACUAAUGAACCGUGAGGCUUAACCUUACAACGCCGAAGGUGUUU